rfam:Shigella dysenteriae Sd197, complete genome.
UUAGAUGAUGGCUAUCUCACUCCAGCCAGAGCCACCAACUCUGGGCUGAAGAGUAAAAAAACCGACGCGAAGUCGGUUUUUUUAC